UACGUAGGAUGCAAGCGUUGUCCGGAAUUACUGGGCGUAAAGGGCGAGCAGGUGGCACUACAAGUCUGAUGUAAAAUCUCCCGGCUUAACUGGGAGGGGCCAUUGGAAACUGUAGAGCUGGAGUGCAGGAGAGGCUAACGGAAUUCCCGGUGUAGUGGUGAAAUGCAUAGAUAUGUCUCAGAACACCGAUUGCGAAGGCAGCUUACUAUGGUCUUAUUGACGCUGAGGCACGAAAGCGUGGGGAGCAAACAGG
rnacentral:rRNA from 1 species